rnacentral:rRNA from 1 species
AUUGAACGCUGGCGGCAGGCUUAACACAUGCAAGUCGAGCGGAGAUGAGGUGCUUGCACCUUAUCUUAGCGGCGGACGGGUGAGUAAUGCUUAGGAAUCUGCCAUUUAGUGGGGGACAACAUUCCGAAAGGAAUGCCAAUACCGCAUACGUCCUACGGGAGAAAGCAGGGGAUCUUCGGACCUUGCGCUAAAUGAUGAGCCUAAGUCGGAUUAGCUAGUUGGUGGGGUAUAGGCCUACCAAGGCGACGAUCUGUAGCGGGUCUGAGAGGAUGAACCGCCACACUGGGACUGAGACACGGCCCAGACUCCUACGGGAGGCAGCAAUGGGGAAUAUUGGACAAUGGGCGGAAGCCUGAUCCAGCCAUGCCGCGUGUGUGAAGAAGGCCUUUUGGUUGUAAAGCACUUUAAGCGAGGAGGAGGCUACUAGUACUAAUACUACUGGAUAGUGGACGUUACUCGCAGAAUAAGCACCGGCUAACUCUGUGCCAGCAGCCGCAGUAACAC